rnacentral:rRNA from 1 species
UACGAAGGGGGGCGAGCGUUGUUCGGAAUUAUUGGGCGUAAAGGGCGCGUAGGCGGCCCGGUAAGUCAAAGGUGAAAUCCCUCGGCUCAACUGAGGAACUGCCUUUGAAACUGUCGGGCUUGAGGCCGGGAGGGGGUAGCGGAAUUCCCAGUGUAGCGGUGAAAUGCGUAGAUAUUGGGAGGAACACCGGUGGCGAAGGCGGCUACC